ensembl:lncRNA
CAGGACCCCAUCCUGAGUGGGAACUGGAGCAAGAGUUCCAAGCUCCACGUGCCCACCUGUGAGGGCAACGCAGAGACCUUCCUGAGAUGGCCCAAGCCAGGCUGCAGGGAAGAACUAAGUGACAUCUGGAUAUGCUGAAGAAGCCCAAACCCUGUGUCCCAGUGCCUUCACCUACUGAAAACAGAGAGACGCAUGGGAGGGACUCAGCGCGAGGAGAGUUGAGCCUCGCACCUGAAACACCACCACUUGAUCCUUCACCAACCAACAGCCUGGCAGAAAGACUUCAGGUUUUAUCCCAGGUCACUGCUGGAGCACGGAGAUGUCUUCUACAUCAGAUGUUUGGGGCUCAGACACCC